ACUCAAAGGAAUAGACGGGGGCCCGCACAAGCGGCGGAGCAUGCGGCUUAAUUCGAUGCGACGCGAAGAACCUUACCAGGGCUUGACAUGCACGGUGCCGCUGUGGAGACACAGCUUCCUUUGGGGUCGUGUACAGGUGGUGCAUGGUUGUCGUCAGCUCGUGUCGUGAGAUGUUGGGUUAAGUCCCGCAACGAGCGCAACCCUCGUCCUGUAUUGCCAGCACGCCGUUUCGGUGGUGGGGACUUGCGGGAGACUGCCGGGGUCAACUCGGAGGAAGGUGGGGAUGACGUCAAAUCAUCAUGCCCCUUAUGUCCUGGGCUGCACGCAUGCUACAAUGGCCGGUACAGAGGGCUGCGAUGCCGUGAGGUGGAGCGAAUCCCGGAAAGCCGGUCUCAGUUCGGAUCGGGGUCUGCAACUCGACCCCGUGAAGUCGGAGUCGCUAGUAAUCGCAGAUCAGCAACGCUGCGGUGAAUACGUUCCCGGGCCUUGUACACACCGCCCGU
rnacentral:rRNA from 1 species